GAUGAACGCUGGCGGCGUGCCUAAUACAUGCAAGUCGAGCGAACGGACGAGAAGCUUGCUUCACUGAUGUUAGCGGCGGACGGGUGAGUAACACGUGGAUAACCUACCUAUAAGACUGGGAUAACUUCGGGAAACCGGAGCUAAUACCGGAUAAUAUUUUGAACCGCAUGGUUCAAAAGUGAAAGACGGUCUUGCUGUCACUUAUAGAUGGAUCCGCGCUGCAUUAGCUAGUUGGUAAGGUAACGGCUUACCAAGGCAACGAUGCAUAGCCGACCUGAGAGGGUGAUCGACCACACUGGAACUGAGACACGGUCCAGACUCCUACGGGAGGCAGCAGUAGGGAAUCUUCCGCAAUGGGCGAAAGCCUGACGGAGCAACGCCGCGUGAGUGAUGAAGGUCUUCGGAUCGUAAAACUCUGUUAUUAGGGAAGAACAUAUGUGUAAGUAACUGUGCACAUCUUGACGGUACCUAAUCAGAAAGCCACGGCUAACUACGUG
rnacentral:rRNA from 1 species